rnacentral:rRNA from 1 species
UACAGAGGUCUCAAGCGUUGUUCGGAUUCAUUGGGCGUAAAGGGUGCGUAGGUGGCGUGGUAAGUCGGGUGUGAAAUUUCGGAGCUUAACUCCGAAACUGCAUUCGAUACUGCUGUGCUUGAGGACUGGAGAGGAGACUGGAAUUUACGGUGUAGCAGUGAAAUGCGUAGAGAUCGUAAGGAAGACCAGUGGCGAAGGCGGGUCUCUGGACAAGUUCCUGACACUGAGGCACGAAGGCCAGGGGAGCAAACGGG